UGACACGUAUCCCAUCCGCAUAAACCACUGCGUUUCAUUUAUUCUCUUUUCUGUUGGGAUUUCGUCGUUUAUUUAGUGAUGGGCUGGGAAUUUAGUCAAUUUUUUGGUCCGUGUAGAAGGGUUCGCCUUCUAACCUAUUCUGCUUGAUAGAAGAAACGAAGGUCGUGUCUGCUCUGUGUGUGACGGCGAGUCAGUGACGCUUGCGAUUCAUCUCACGAUUGAAACAGUCUGAUUAAUUAAUUUGUGAUUAAUCUCAUUGAUUCAUGCCUCCACGAUGUGUCUUCAAAGUGUUGUUUGGAUCUUAUAGCCGGUGGUGUGGUUUCAGUAUAAAUAUGUGUAAGGUUCCUCUCCUUAAACUCAUCUUCUCUUCGUAGAUGGGAGAUUAACUUGGUUCCAGUUUAUGGGAGAUUAAUUUGAUUCCAGUUAUGUUUUUUUUUAUUUUGUUUCAGUUUACCAACACUUUUAUUCAUAUAUCUUACGGGUACGGGAGAUGAUCAAUAAUUCGAUUUUGUUUGUUGAUUUUGUUUCCACCUGUUCAUGUAUUUCAGACACUCAUCUCAAGCUUUUAGCAGAUCAUGCUCGCUGUCGCAGACAUGAAUAUAAAAAAAGCUAAAAAGGAUAAUCAUAUUGCUGUUUGAGCUAGGGCUGUUCAAUAUGGCAAAACCGAACCGUACCGAACCGAACCGAACCGAAAUAGAUAAUGUGGUUUGGAUUUGGUAUAUACCAUACAAACCGAAUGGAUAUAAUUUUCUAAAAACCGUAGGAUUUGGAUAUGGUUUGGUAUAUAACCGAUAAAACCGAAUAAACCGAAUAAAACCGAUCAAAAAUAGAAACAUGUAAGUAUAUAUUUUAUAACGACGUAUGAAAAUCAUAAGUUAAUUUGUUUGCUAAUAACUAUUACCAUAUUUUUAUACUAAUAAAGAAGUCAUGAUUUGUAAAAUAUUUGAAGUAUAAUUAAAUACAAUUCAUCGCAACCGAUGCUUCUUAUUUUUUUAGUUUUUUUUUGAUAUUUUUGCUUUAUUUUAGCAUUGACUAAAUUGAAAUAAAAAUUAUAAAUUCGAUGGACAACAAUUAGUAGAAAUUCUUCACACUUUUUUUAAUCUAUAAAUGAACAGAGAUUCGUGUUCGAUCGAAGAAACAUGAAUUUGAUGAACGCUAAAUAUGGAAGAAUAGAAAAAUUUUCUUUAGUGCUUCGGUUUGUUUUUAGCUUUUUACUUUUAUUCAAAAUUUUGAGCUUUGAUUUUAAUUUUAGAUUUGAUUAUUUUAUUAGAUGGUAUAAGCGUUUUUUAUUUUUUUGUUAUUUUAUUUAAACAUAUAAUAUUUUUUAAUAAAUACCUGUGUUGACAACAUGACUCUAAAAUUCAUAUAAUAUGAUCACAAAAUAAAGAAUUAUGUUUUUUGGUAUAAAACCGAAUAAACCGAAAACCGACAGUAUAUAAACCGAACCGAACCGAAGUAAAUAUGGAUUUAGAAUGGUAGUUGUAUUUUACUAACCGAAAUACCGAAAAACCAAAAAAACCGAACCGAAACCGAACCAAUAUCCGAAUUGAACACCCCUAGUUUGAGCAAAGUAGAAAUCUAAUCACUGGUUUGUCCAUACCUCUACUCAACUUGUACAUAAAUUGGAUAGCUAAAGAAGAAUAAAAUGGAGAAUGCAAAAGCUUGGGUAAAAAAGCUAAAAUCUAAAGACAAGGUAAAACAGAAGGAAGCAGCAGCCGCCGCAGCAAAAGAAGUGUAACAUCCCGAGUUGUGAUAUACGGAAAGGCUUAAGAGAAUUGAUUUGGCUACCUAUGUCACCAAAGUUGACUUACUUUUUCCGUCACACAUCCGUUUAGAACUCCAGAGUUAAGCGUGCUUGGGCUAGAGUAGUGAAAGGAUGGGUGACCUAUCGGGAAGUGAUUCGCGAUACCGUGUAAGUGAGGCCAAAGCAUGGGGAAAGGUCGGGUGGUGAUUGCAGGGUCAGUAAACAAUGAUUUCGAGCCUUGAGAAAUUAACGACCGAUCGUCAGAUAGGAUGGGGCCCACGGGCUGAGAGAGCGGGCGUGGAUGGCCCAUUAGCCGUGGGCAGGUCGGGGCGUUAUAGGAAGUGCCAAAGCCACCUGGUGUAGGUGAAGGAGCGCUUUCAAAUGUAACCAAAGAGAAAGCUGCUACUGCUAAACUUUAUAUUAGGGCUGGCAAAAAAUCCGAACCCGAAAAACCGAACCGAACCCGAUCCGAAAAAGUAGCACCGAACCCGAACGGAAAUUGAUUAAAUAUCGGAACGGGUCCAAAAUUUCGGUAUUUAAAGAACCGAAACCGAACCCGAUCCGAACCGAAAUAUUUUGGGUACCCGAAUGUAUCCGAAAUAAAUUUAUAUACUUAAAUAUAUACAUUAUUUUUAUAUAUAAUGUAUAUUAAAAAUAUUAAAAAUAUAUAAGAUACCUUUAAGUUUCCAAAAUACUCGGAAAAUAUAUGCAAAUAGUCAAAAGUUAAUGUUUAAAAUAGCUAAAGUAUACUGAAAACACCAAAAUAGUUAAAUAUCUAUUGAUUCUUUUUCCAAAUAUUCAAAGAAAACUAAUUUAUAUGUUAAAUUAAGGUAUUUUGACAUAUAUGUUAUGAAAAUUUAUAUGUAAUAUAUUAUCUUUCUUAUAGAUUUUGAAAAUUUAAAGUAUAUAAUGAAUUUUGAAAAUUUAAAAACAUUUUAAAUGGGUUAUUCGAAUCCGAACCGAACCCGAACCGAAAUUUAGAAAUAUCCGAAUGGGGCUGAAAUCUUUGAUCCCGAAAACCCGAAAACCCGAAACCCGAAUGGACUGAACCGAAACCUGAAUGGGUACCCGAACGCCCAGCCCUACUUUAUAUUGAAAACCAUUAAAAAAUACAGAUGCAGAGUCUCCAGUAAAGAAAACAGCGCCGCAAAAUGCUAGAAAACAAAUUAGCCACUGCAUAAGUCUCUGAGGAAGAGCAAAACAAAUUGCUAAAGGAUUUGGAGUUGAAGGAAACUGAGUACAUGCGCCGUCAGCGGCAUAAGAUGGGAGCUGAUGACUUGGAGUCUUUGACAAUGAUCGGGAAGGGUGCAUUUGGAGAGGUUAGGAUAUGUAACCGAUGAUCAAAGAGAUCUAUAAAGAAGAGUUUUGGUGAUGUAUCAGAGCUUACAAAUACCAUGAUAUCUUAAAUACCUAAGAACUGCUCAUCCAGACGGAUUGAUAGCCCAAGCAAUCCAACGUUCCUGAUGUUGGCGAAAAAUUCCCAAGUAACUUUAGUGGAGGCAGGAAUAUAGACUCUGUCACCUAUCAACAGUCUCUUAAUAUACAUUACGCAUGACAUUCUUUAUCUUUUGAAGAGAGAAAUAGAGGUGUAUCAGCUGCAGGGAUUUGGCUAAUGUAUAAAAAGGUAAUUUAAAAGAUUAACAUAUGAGCACCUAUGUAUAAAAAAAUUAUGAGUGUACACAAGGAUUUGGUUAAUGUAUUUUUUUAUAUAAUAUUCUUUCCAUAAUAUAAUUCUUCUU